rnacentral:rRNA from 1 species
CAUGCGGCGAGCUAUACAUGCAAGUCGAGCGGACAGAUGGGAGCUUGCUCCCUGAUGUUAGCGGCGGACGGGUGAGUAACACGUGGGUAACCUGCCUGUAAGACUGGGAUAACUCCGGGAAACCGGGGCUAAUACCGGAUGCUUGUUUGAACCGCAUGGUUCAAACAUAAAAGGUGGCUUCGGCUACCACUUACAGAUGGACCCGCGGCGCAUUAGCUAGUUGGUGAGGUAAUGGCUCACCAAGGCAACGAUGCGUAGCCGACCUGAGAGGGUGAUCGGCCACACUGGGACUGAGACACGGCCCAGACUCCUACGGGAGGCAGCAGUAGGGAAUCUUCCGCAAUGGACGAAAGUCUGACGGAGCAACGCCGCGUGAGUGAUGAAGGUUUUCGGAUCGUAAAGCUCUGUUGUUAGGGAAGAACAAGUGCCGUUCAAAUAGGGCGGCACCUUGACGGUACCUAACCAGAAAGCCACGGCUAACUACGUGCCAGCAGCCGCGGUAAUACGUAGGUGGCAAGCGUUGUCCGGAAUUAUUGGGCGUAAAGGGCUCGCAGGCGGUUUCUUAAGUCUGAUGUGAAAGCCCCCGGCUCAACCGGGGAG